UAUAGCUUUUAUCUGUGUGUAAUAUAACGGGGCCCACUGGAUGCUGCUGGGAUUCGUGACAAGAAGCCAAUUCUGAUGUGUUGUUGAUGUUCACAAUAUCAACAUUUCCAUAAGUUGGUUCAAUAUCAUAGCGUUAACAAAAUUAGCCUUACCAUUUGACGGAACUAACCGCCCCUCAAAGCAUAAAAUUAAUCUUUAUUCUCACUGAAUCCUAUGUUUUUUUUUCCCCUUUGGCAAUGAUUUUGCCCAUUUAACAUACUUCUUAUCAAUUUGCGGGAUUUAAUUUCUACGGCAGCAGAUCCAUUUACAUUAGUGUUGGGGCUGUUCAGCUUUCUUUGACAACAAAAGGAUAGCUCGAUGUCAGGAACCUUGACUCUAGAUGUGUUCAGUCGUCAGGUCCUCAUUUUGUACUUAGUCUGUGCAAGGCUUAAAUGUGUUUCAGAUGACGUCCCAAUAUGGUGUGACCCAACAAGAGUAGAGUGUGUGUGUUACGAGCCCCUCAUAUGGUUGGGUAGCAGAUAUUUUAGUUUGAACCAUUUCUAUAGAGCCUUACAUAAAUAGCCCAGAUCCACGUUUGAGUUGUUUUACUUACAACUGUGGUCCCUACGUGCAUAGUCAAUGUAGCACAGUAUAAUAUAUCCUAAUUCCACGUUUCAGUACUGUGUUUAUACAAAAUAAUAUUUAUUGUUCAUCAUUUCAUUCAAGGCAAGCAAGUCCUCUGGAACUGUCCCCUUCCACAAGAACGCUGCAUUCUGGUCAUAAGUUCAAAUAGUUCAUAUUUUCACACCUUGGGGUAAUUAUGAUGUGAGGAAACAUUGUAGACUUUCAAGUAAGUAUUUUCAUUUUGAUUUGUAAAGUUUAGAAAAAAGCUGCCGUCUGAAAAAUCUGAAGCGCCAUCAUGGUCGUUGUGAAGAUCGUUACCAGGAGGCUCAAAAAGAGAUAGCCAAGAGAUCUUUGAUUCAGGUCACCAGAAUUAAUUAUUCGACCUCCACUGACUUAUUUGAGGAAUCUUCGGAUGCUACGGACUAUGAUGAUGCUGACUAUGUUCCAGACUCAUGUGGCAAUUCCUCGGAUGCUUCAAUUAUAAGUACUGCUAGUCAAGAACUCAAAACCAUGAAGGGGGAUGGUGCCACCAGUUCAGAGGUACCUAGAACAUUCAGUUCUUCAAAGAUGAGCAGCAAUCAUUGUGCUUCAGUGAUAAGCUGCAGUGCCAAUUUCUGCCCCGGCAGUAUUUUGGUUUUUUUCGCCUAUACACAUACCCAA
ensembl:lncRNA